UUGGUUUCGUGGAUGAUCGCUCCAAGGUCAGAUUUCGAUCUCGGCCGAGGGGAGGAAAGUCCGGACUCCACAGGACAGCGCAAAGGAUAACGUCCUUCCGGUGUAAACCGAGGAACAGUGGAACAGAGAGAAUGUCCAGGGCCUUGAGCUCACGACCGGGAACGGGAGGUCGUGAAGGAGCCGCUGGAGUGAAAACAGCUAAACUCUGCGCGGAGCAAGAUCAAAUAGGAAAGCGUUCGAGCCCGGUCCGGGCGAAGCUUUCGGGUAGCAUCGCUUGAGGGCGGGGGUAACUCCGCUCCCAGACAAAUGAUCGUCAAAGGUUUUCGGGCAUUUUUUGGGACCUGGAAACCCGAACAGAAUCCGGCUUACAGCGAAACCAUGAUC
rnacentral:RNase_P_RNA from 1 species